GGAUAUAUUUUCGUCGUUCGUAAUUGGCUCAGGCUGUGAGUACUCUAUACUGUACAAGGGCCUGGGCUGUUUCUUCUUCUUCUUAGUGUGCACUGCUGAAAAAUCUAUUCGUUAUUACAUUAUUUGGCACUGGAUCCCGGCAGGAUCAGACGUAAGCUAGGGUAAGAAUUGUCUGACAGGUGUAAUUGUAAGUCAAACAUGAAAGAAAUGUUUGAAAUCGACACAGGUCAGACUGGCGAGAGACAGAUAGUUAGAGAAAGGCCAAGUAAUGGUGGAUUCAUAGACAAGAAAAAGAAGAAUGAAGAGUCUACCAAAAAGCAAAGCUCAAAACCAUGUUAGAUCAGGAGAAGAGAACUGAGGGAAUGUGUUAUUCUA